GCCAGGCGUGAUGGCUCAUGCCUGUAAUCCCAGCACUUUGGGAGGCUGAGAUGGGUGGAUCACCUGAGGUCAGGAGUUUGAGACCAGCCUGGCCGACAUGGUGAAACCCCAUCUCUA
ensembl:misc_RNA Metazoa_SRP Metazoan signal recognition particle RNA